AUACGUAGGGGGCAAGCGUUGUCCGGAAUUAUUGGGCGUAAAGCGCGCGCAGGCGGUUCUUUAAGUCUUGUGUUUAAGCCCGGGGCUCAACCCCGGUACGCACGGGAAACUGGGGGACUGGAGUGCAGGAGAGGAAAGUGGAAUUCCACGUGUAGCGGUGAAAUGCGUAGAGAUGUGGAGGAACACCAGUGGCGAAGGCGACUUUCUGGCCUGUAACUGACGCUGAGGCGCGAAAGCGUGGGGAGCAAACAGGAUUAGAUACCCUGGUAGUCCACGCCGUAAACGAUGAGUGCUAGGUGUCGGGGGUUUCAAUACCCUCGGUGCCGAAGUAAACACAGUAAGCACUCCGCCUGGGGAGUACGCUCGCAAGAGUGAA
rnacentral:rRNA from 1 species